rnacentral:misc_RNA from 1 species
AACAUCGCGCACCUGCGGGAACCUGCGGAAGGAUCAUUACUGAGUGUAAAAACUCCCAAACCCAUUGUGAACAUACCACUGUUGCUUCGGCGGAUACGCCCCGGGCGCGCUCUUCACAGGGCGUGCCCCGGAACCAGGCGCCCGCCGGGGGACCGAAACUCUUGUUUUCUUAGGAUCUCUGAGUGUGAUUAUUAAAUAAAUCAAAACUUUUAACAAUGGAUCUCAGAUCGGAAGAGCACA